CAGUUUCAAGUGAUUUAGCAUAUGAGUAUUAUGUCCCUUUAACUGCAAAGGGUUCCAAUGCACUUAACAUUCAGAUACUCAUUAUUGUACACUUUCUAGGGGACCGUCAUUCUCCCAGUGCUAACUUCUGUAUUGCAAGACAAGGAUUAUUUUGAGAAACCAGAUGAGUUUUACCCUCAACACUUUCUUGAUUCUGAAGGGAAUUUUGUACGGACUGACGCAUUCAUGCCAUUUUCAGCAGGUCAAAUAAUUUGUGCUGGGGAGAAUUUAGCCAGAAUGGAGCUGUUUCUGUUCUUUACAAGACUGUUGCAGAAGUUUACAUUUCGUAAUCCUCCGGGUGUUCCUGACGUUGAUCUUAUUCCAAUGGACGGAGCUACUAGAAAUCCCAAGAAAUAUCAGAUGUGUGCUGUACCUCGUACCUAGAUGUGUGCUGUACCUUAUACCUAAAUGUGUGCUGUACCUUAUACCUAAAUGUGUGCUGUACCUCAUCCCUAGAUGUGUGCUGUACCUCAUCCCUAGAUGUGUGCUGUACCUCAUACCUAGAUAUGUGCUGUACCUCGUACCUAGAGUAGAAAAUAAAGAUUUAAAUGUG